rnacentral:rRNA from 1 species
GAAUUGACGGGGCCGGCACAAGCGGAGGAGCAUGUGGUUAAUUCGAUGAUACGCGAGGAACCUUACCUGGGCUCGAACGUAAGAUGACUGUAGGUGAAAGCUUACAUCUCUUCGGAGCAUUUUACGAGGUGCUGCAUGGUUGUCGUCAGCUCGUGCCGUGAGGUGUCGGGUUAAGUCCCAUAACGAGCGCAACCCCUACCUUUAGUUGCCAUCAGGUUAAGCUGGGGACUCUAAAGGAACUGCCUACGCAAGUAGUGAGGAAGGCGGGGAUGACGUCAAAUCAGCACGGCCCUUACGUCCAGGGCUACACACGUGCUACAAUGGCCGAUACAGAGGGCAGCUACCUGGUGACAGGAUGCAAAUCUCCAAAGUCGGUCUCAGUUCGGAUCGGAGUCUGCAACCCGACUCCGUGAAGUUGGAUUCGCUAGUAAUCGCGCAUCAGCCAUGGCGCGGUGAAUACGUUCCCGGGCCUU